ACACACCGCCCGUCACACCAUGGGAGUCGGAAAUGCCCGAAGUCUGUGACCCAACCUGAGAGGGAGGGAGCAGCCGAAGGCAGGUCUGAUGACUGGGGUGAAGUCGUAACAAGGUAGC
rnacentral:rRNA from 1 species